rnacentral:rRNA from 1 species
AUUGAACGCUGGCGGCAGGCCUAACACAUGCAAGUCGAACGAGUGGCGGACGGGUGAGUAAUGUCUGGGAAACUGCCCGAUGGAGGGGGAUAACUACUGGAAACGGUAGCUAAUACCGCAUACCAUCGGAUGUGCCCAGAUGGGAUUAGCUAGUAGGUGGGGUAAAGGCUCACCUAGGCGACGAUCCCUAGCUGGUCUGAGAGGAUGACCAGCCACACUGGAACUGCGACAAGAUGCAGAGUACGGCGGGAGGCAGCAGGGGGGAAGAUUGCACAAUGGGCGCAAGCCUGAUGAAGCCAUGCCGCGUGUAGGAAGAAGGCCUUCGGGUUGUAAAGUACGUUCAGCGGGGAGGCGUUACCCGCAGAAGAAGCACCGGCUAACUCCGUGCCAGCAGCCGCGGUAAUUC